rnacentral:tRNA from 2 species
GGUUCUUUAGCUCAGUUGGUUAGAGCAACCGGCUCAUAACCGGUCGGUCCUGGGUUCGAGUCCCCGAAGAACCA